ACCUACGGGAGGCAGCAGUGAGGAAUAUUGGUCAAUGGCCGAGAGGCUGAACCAGCCAAGUCGCGUGAGGGAUGACGGCCCUACGGGUUGUAAACCUCUUUUGUCGGGGAGCAAGACCCGCCUCGUGCAGGCGGAGCGAGAGUACCCGAAGAAAAAGCAUCGGCUAACUCCGUGCCAGCAGCCGCGGUAAUACGGAGGAUGCGAGCGUUAUCCGGAUUUAUUGGGUUUAAAGGGUGCGCAGGCGGCCUGCUAAGUCUGGAGUGAAAGGUACCGGCUCAACCGGUACAGGCUCUGGAAACUGGCGG
rnacentral:rRNA from 1 species